AACGCACAUUGCGCCCUCUGGUAUUCCGGAGGGCAUGCCUGUUCGAGCGUCAUAAUGACCAACUCACCCCCGUGGUGGACUUGGAGCUGGCCGGCCUGGCCUCUCUCAAAACCAGUGGCGGUGCUCUUAAGCUCUACGCGUAGUAAUUUCUCUCGCGACAGGGUCUUGAUGGUACUUGCCAACAACCCCAACUAUUAUAAGGUUGACCUCGGAUCAGGUAGGGAUACCCGCUGAACUUAA
rnacentral:misc_RNA from 1 species